AAAGUGAGAUCACACUGUCACACUGGGCACUCCUGGAAGUUAGCAGGUGCUCAGCAGAGGAGCUGGCUUGAGACCUGACUGGGUGCCCUGGUUCUCUGGAGAAGCAUGCUGUGCUGAGUAGGAGACACUUCUCUGCCACGUUUUCUCUGUGCCUGCUGCGUGGGGAUGGGCCCCAGCCGUGCCUUGGCAUGUCCCCCAUCCACAGGCCGGCAUGUCCCCCAUCCACAGGCCAGCCUGUCCCUGUGGGUCUUGUCCAGUGACCAGGAUGGGCCAUGCUUCUCUCCACAGAGCCCCAAAGGCUUCCUGGAGAGCUACGAGGAGAUGCUGAGCUAUGCCCUGCGGCCCGAGACCUGGGCCACGACACGGCUGGAGCUGGAGGGCCGAGGGGUGGUAUGCAUGAGCUUCUUCGACAUCGUGCUGGACUUCAUCCUCAUGGACGCCUUCGAGGACCUGGAGAACCCUCCGGCCUCGGUGCUCGCCGUCCUGCGGAACCGCUGGCUGUCAGACAGCUUCAAGGAGACGGUGGGUCACUGCCCUGCUCUCAGACCCACACUUGCUCACAUCAGCCCGUGUGGUUGCCUGGCUCCGUC
rnacentral:sRNA from 1 species